UGGCUCAGAUGGUAAAGCGUUUGCCUGCAGUGCAGGAGACCCAGGUUUGAUCCCUGG
rnacentral:tRNA from 1 species